ACGCUCUGAUAAAUUUCUUACUCCGUCGUCCAUUUCCUUCGUAGGGAUAGCGGAGCAUCUUUCUGUGAGAGGAUGGCAGAGCUAUUUGUCACAUCCCCCAUGGUUGCCCGCCAGAAAUCGAUGCGGCCGCAUUUGCUGUAGGAGCAGCGGGUGCGGCAGAAGCGCUGGGGAUGGACAUCGACAGGAGAUGCUGAGAGAAGUUUCCUCUCCGAUGGUUCGAGGCUGAAGGGAACAGCCUCACCCAGAGGGUGGUGACGCACUGAACAUGUUGCCCAAGGAGGCUGUGGAUGCCCCAUCCCUGCAGGCAUUCAAGGCCAGGCUGGAUGUGGCUCUGGGCAGCCUGGGCUGCUGGUUGGCGACCCUGCACAUAGCAGCGGGUUGGAACUGGAUGAGCACUGUGGGCCUUUUCAACACAGGCCAUGCUGUGAUUCUGUGAAAUGUAGCAUUUACAACGAGCACCGGAGCUGAGGACCUUUUUGGGCUGGGGAGUGGAAUCCAGCUGGAGCCUGAGGCAGCCUCCGGACAGAGAGUAAACUUUUGGUAGCAAAUGAACCCAAGCAGGAUUUCGCAAUGUGGUGUAAUUCCCAGAGAUGAGCAGAAAUCUCAGCUGUGUACUCAUUUAAGGGAAAGAAAAAGAACAGAUCUGCCUGUUCUCCCGGGAACAAAUAUGCUGUGGAAUUUGUCAUUAAAUCAAAAGAAAUGUUACUGAGCUAUCCAUCGACUGAAACGAUGGGGAGAAACGUAAGCAAAGCUCUCCUCCCUUCUUUACCCCUUAAUGCUGGAGUAACGUGAGAUAAUGCAGCCUUUAAUGAUGCAAUAAGAAGUGGAACUCCUAAUAGAGAUGUUCUUCUGAUUACAAAACACCUCCAAGUUAUUAACUCGCAU
ensembl:lncRNA